GCCUGAGAGCCGUGCAGCCCGCGCAUGCGCGGAGCGAUCCGGGCUACGCUCUUAGAGUGUGGCGGCGGGAUACGGCUGUUUCUCUCGAAGGGAUCCGGCCUCAUUGCAAACCGAGCCUCUCGCUGACUCUCAGGAGCGGCUGUUCCUGCGGGAACUGCGAGUGCCGCGCCUGAUGUGGGACUGCCAACACCCCGUGAAUUUCUAAAGGAAAACAGGGUGUGUCUGCUACCAUUAUUACUGCCUUCCCAACCCUGAGACAGGUGACACUGGCACAAAGGACCGAGUCCUCUUGUAAGAAACUCUGUACCUGUUCAUCUCUCAAAGCAAAAGGAGAAGCCGGAUGUGAUGACUGAGCUGACUUUAGUUUGUGGAGGGAAGGAAGGGGGUUGCUAUGGUCUUUCACCCUGCUUUGUAACAGCACAAUGAACAUCAUCUUUUCUACAGGAAUGAUAACACAGAAAAAUAAAUCAAUAAUUUUAACUGUA